UACACACCUAGUGGCAAGUCGCGGGGUCGAUCAAGUUGGUCAUCGCGUUCAAGUCAAGGACGAAGGAUUUUUUGGCGGCGUUGCAUACGUUGGAUCGCAUCUUUUUGCGAGCGUAAAAUGGAUCGGUGUAGUGCUAGAGAUGAAGCGGUUGGGAAGAACGACGGCAGCGUGCAGGGAAAGAGAUACUUUGAUUAAUUGUCAUGACAACUUUGGCAUCUUUGUGCGGCAAUGACUGUUUCAAAACGAAGAGACUUAAAUAAUGGAGAUAUGCAAACUUCUGUAGGAGCAGAUGUCAGAAUGCAAGAGCAGAUGGUCAAUGUAUCAGUCUGAUCUACGCAGUUGAAGCAGGCAAGAAAGGACCCGAAAGAAGCUCAAGAAGCAAUUUAAAAAGGCAUGCAAGGAUUGAAGAGGAAUCCAGGAUGGAAUAUGUGACUGAGUCAGUCAAAGUGGAGCUGUUGGAACACCAAAAUGCAAUGCUAAGAGAUGCUCUUGUGAGAUGUGAUGAACGAAGGGAUUCUUUUGUGAGGCUCGAGGUUUCAGUCAGACAAAAUGUCUCGGUAAAGGAAAUGGUCAUUUGUACAAGCUGUUGGAUGAUCAGUCAAGGCAAUUUCUCAAGCAAUACAACAGACAGCACAACAUUCAGAUAAAGGCUAUCCUGUUAGAGCAUGGCUGGACACUUCCUGUUUGGCUACAGAAUAUAGAAUGAAAAUUAGAAUUUUGUUUUUUUAAAAAUUUAUUUAUACGUUUAUGUA